GAUAAACGCUGGCGGCGUGCAUAACACAUGCAAGUCGAACGAUGAACCUUAUUAGAUUUCUUCGGAAUGAAAAUAAGUGGAUUAGUGGCGAACGGGUGAGUAACACGUGAGUAACCUGCCUUACACAAGGGGAUAGCCUUUGGAAACGAAGAAUAAUACCCUAUAAAGUUAGUCAAUCGCAUGGUAGACUAACCAAAGAUUUAUCGGUGUAAGAUGGACUUGCGUCUGAUUAGCUAGUUGGUGAGAUAAAAGCCCACCAAGGCAACGAUACGUAGCCGACCUGAGAGGGUGAUCGGCCACACUGGAACUGAGACACGGUCCAGACUCCUACGGGAGGCAGCAGUAGGGAAUCUUCCGCAAUGGGCGAAAGCCUGACGGAGCAACGCCGCGUGAGUGAUGAAGGUCUUCGGAUCGUAAAACUCUGUUAUUAGGGAAGAACAAACGUGUAAGUAACUGUGCACGUCUUGACGGUACCUAAUCAGAAAGCCACGGCUAACUACGUGCCAGCAGCCGCGGUAAUACGUAGGUGGCAAGCGUUAUCCGGAAUUAUUGGGCGUAAAGCGCGCGUAGGCGGUUUUUUAAGUCUGAUGUGAAAGCCCACGGCUCAACCGUGGAGGGUCAUUGGAAACUGGAAAACUUGAGUGCAGAAGAGGAAAGUGGAAUUCCAUGUGUAGCGGUGAAAUGCGCAGAGAUAUGGAGGAACACCAGUGGCGAAGGCGACUUUCUGGUCUGUAACUGACGCUGAUGUGCGAAAGCGUGGGGAUCAAACAGGAUUAGAUACCCUGGUAGUCCACGCCGUAAACGAUGAGUGCUAAGUGUUAGGGGGUUUCCGCCCCUUAGUGCUGCAGCUAACGCAUUAAGCACUCCGCCUGGGGAGUACGACCGCAAGGUUGAAACUCAAAGGAAUUGACGGGGACCCGCACAAGCGGUGGAGCAUGUGGUUUAAUUCGAAGCAACGCGAAGAACCUUACCAAAUCUUGACAUCCUUUGACCCUUCUAGAGAUAGAAGUUUCCCCUUCGGGGGACAAAGUGACAGGUGGUGCAUGGUUGUCGUCAGCUCGUGUCGUGAGAUGUUGGGUUAAGUCCCGCAACGAGCGCAACCCUUAAGCUUAGUUGCCAUCAUUAAGUUGGGCACUCUAAGUUGACUGCCGGUGACAAACCGGAGGAAGGUGGGGAUGACGUCAAAUCAUCAUGCCCCUUAUGAUUUGGGCUACACACGUGCUACAAUGGAAGGUACAAAGGGAAGCAAGAUAGUGAUAUUAAGCAAACCUCAAAAAGCCUUUCUCAGUUCGGAUUGUACUCUGCAACUCGAGUACAUGAAGAUGGAGUUGCUAGUAAUCGUAGAUCAGCAUGCUACGGUGAAUACGUUCCCGGGUCU
rnacentral:rRNA from 1 species